UGGAUAACACCUGGAAACAGAUGCUAAUACCGGAUAACAACAGAUGAUGCCUAUCAACUGUUUAAAAGAUGGUUCUGCUAUCACUCUUGGAUGGACCUGCGGUGCAUUAGCUAGUUGGUAGGGUAACGGCCUACCAAGGCGAUGAUGCAUAGCCGAGUUGAGAGACUGAUCGGCCACAUUGGGACUGAGACACGGCCCAAACUCCUACGGGAGGCAGCAGCU
rnacentral:rRNA from 1 species